rnacentral:rRNA from 1 species
UACGGAGGGUGCGAGCGUUGUUCGGAAUCACUGGGCGUAAAGGGCGUGUAGGCGGUCCGCUAAGUCUGAUGUGAAAGCCCGGGGCUCACCCCCGGAAGGGCAUUGGAAACUGGCGGACUCGAGUCCCGGAGAGGAAGGUGGAAUUCCUGGUGUAGCGGUGAAAUGCGUAGAUAUCAGGAGGAAUACCGGUGGCGAAGGCGGGUCUCUGGGCAAUUCCUGACGCUGAGGCGCGAAAGCGUGGGGAGCAAACGGG